GGGAAAGAUGACAGACUAUGGAGUAUCAUUGAGAGAGAGCUGCUGUUGAAAACCAGUGAGCUCUGCUUGUUAUUAGAAGUUACCAGCGAGUCCUGUGACCAGGGAUUUGAGCUGCUAUACAGAUCAUCGAAAUUUAAGUACUGUGACAUUUUAAUUAAUUGCAUAGAGGAUUGGAAACCACGCUUUAUAAGUAAGAUUCUUUCCCCUCCUGUGUUCAGCUUUAUGACAUUAUAAAGAUAAAAUCUAAAGAUGGAAGAAAAAAAGCCUUCUCCACCUGCUCAUCCCACCUCAUCAUUGUCAUUAUGUACUAUACAACAGGGGUGUCUGUGUACAUGAUGCCACCAUCAGAAUACUCUGAUGUCCUUGAACCCGUCUUUACUGCACUGUACUCAGUUGUUACACCCAUGAUCAACCCUUUGAUAUACAGUCUACGGAAUAGAGAUGUGAAAAGGUCUCUCCAAAAAUUACUGGGGGUGAAACAUUUUAUUAUAUUGCAACAAAGCAUUUGCAAGAAGUUAAAAUAACACAAUAUGUACAAUGAUAUCUGAAUUUUGAUGAUUUGAGACUGUGAAUUGCAAAAAAAUACUGUACCUCACCAAUACAGCAACAUAGCAGAUUUCUUAUAAAUCUCUAUGGAGAGUGAGGAGAAAUCUGGGAUUUUCGAAAUUCUCAAGGUGCCACAGGAACUUGUGGAAUUCCAGCAUAUUUUGACAUUGCAAUUAUAUACACACCUUUGGAUCUACUCUUACUGAUUUUUAAAAUUGUGAAGCUUUUCUUGCUGUCAUGCUCUGUCUGCCUACAUCCCUUUAAUUGACUAAUAACAUUCAUCCUAAAAAAAAGUUUUUAUUUUAUUUUUUUACUCAA